rnacentral:rRNA from 1 species
UACGUAGGGUGCGAGCGUUAAUCGGAAUUACUGGGCGUAAAGCGUGCGCAGGCGGUUAUGUAAGACAGGUGUGAAGUCCCCGGGCUUAACCUGGGAACUGCAUUUGUGACUGCAUAGCUAGAGUACGGUAGAGGGGGAUGGAAUUCCGCGUGUAGCAGUGAAAUGCGUAGAUAUGCGGAGGAACACCGAUGGCGAAGGCAAUCCCCUGGACCUGUACUGACGCUCAUGCACGAAAGCGUGGGGAGCAAACAGG